GUGAGUAGUUCAGAGUUUGAUCCUGGCUCAGGACGAACGCUGGCGGCGUGCCUAACACAUGCAAGUCGAACGGAGUUAAGACUUCGGUUUUAACUUAGUGGCGAACGGGUGAGUAACGCGUGAGGAACCUGCCUUUCAGUGGGGGACAACAGUUGGAAACGACUGCUAAUACCGCAUAAUGUAACGAGAUCGCAUGAUUUUGUUACCAAAGAUUUAUUGCUGAAAGAUGGCCUCGCGUCUGAUUAGCUAGUUGGUGAGGUAACGGCUCACCAAGGCGACGAUCAGUAGCCGGUCUGAGAGGAUGAACGGCCACAUUGGGACUGAGAUACGGCCCAG
rnacentral:rRNA from 1 species